UAGUGCUUUGAUCAAUUCCCG
ensembl:piRNA 21ur-1651 ncRNA